GGUGAGUAACACGUGGGCAACCUGCCCUGCAGAUUGGGAUAACUCCGGGAAACCGGGGCUAAUACCGAAUAACAUUGGAAACCUCAUGGUUUCCUUUUGAAAGGCGGCUUCGGCUGUCACUGCAGGAUGGGCCCGCGGCGCAUUAGCUAGUUGGUGAGGUAACGGCUCACCAAGGCCACGAUGCGUAGCCGACCUGAGAGGGUGAUCGGCCACACUGGGACUGAGACACGGCCCAGACUCCUACGGGAGGCAGCAGUAGGGAAUCUUCCGCAAUGGACGAAAGUCUGACGGAGCAACGCCGCGUGAGUGAAGAAGGUUUUCGGAUCGUAAAACUCUGUUGUCAGGGAAGAACAAGUACGGGAGUAACUGCCCGUACCUUGACGGUACCUGGCCAGAAAGCCACGGCUAACUACGUGCCAGCAGCCGCGGUAAUACGUAGGUGGCAAGCGUUGUCCGGAAUUAUUGGGCGUAAAGCGCGCGCAGGCGGCCUUUUAAGUCUGAUGUGAAAGCCCCCGGCUCAACCGGGGAGGGUCAUUGGAAACUGGAAGGCUUGAGUGCAGAAGAGAAGAGCGGAAUUCCACGUGUAGCGGUGAAAUGCGUAGAGAUGUGGAGGAACACCAGUGGCGAAGGCGGCUCUUUGGUCUGUAACUGACGCUGAGGCGCGAAAGCGUGGGGAGCGAACAGGAUUAGAUACCCUGGUAGUCCACGCCGUAAACGAUGAGUGCUAAGUGUUGGGGGGUUUCCGCCCCU
rnacentral:rRNA from 1 species